GAUGAACGCUGGCGGCGUGCCUAAUACAUGCAAGUCGAGCGAAUGGAUUAAGAGCUUGCUCUUAUGAAGUUAGCGGCGGACGGGUGAGUAACACGUGGGUAACCUGCCCAUAAGACUGGGAUAACUCCGGGAAACCGGGGCUAAUCCCGGAUAACAUUUUGAACCGCAUGGUUCGAAAUUGAAAGGCGGCUUCGGCUGUCAAUUCUGGAUGGACCCGCGUCGCAUUUGCUAGUUGGUGAGGUAACGGCUCACCAAGGCAACGAUGCGUAGCCGACCUGAGAGGGUGAUCGGCCACACGGGGACUGAGACACGGCCCAGACUCCUACGGGAGGCAGCAGUAGGGAAUCUUCCGCAAUGGACGAAAGUCUGACGGAGCAACGCCGCGUGAGUGAUGAAGGCUUUCGGGUCGUAAAACUCUGUUGUUAGGGAAGAACAAGUGCUAGUUGAAUAAGCUGGCACCUUGACGGUACCUAACCAGAAAGCCACGGCUAACUACGUGCCAGCAGCCGCCGCAG
rnacentral:rRNA from 1 species